rnacentral:rRNA from 1 species
AGCACCCUUUGGGUGUGACUGCGUACCUUUUGUAUAAUGGGUCAGCGACUUAUAUUCUGUAGCAAGGUUAACCGAAUAGGGGAGCCGGAGGGAAACCGAGUCUUAACCGGGCGUUAAGUUGCAGGGUAUAGACCCGAAACCCGGUGAUCUAGCCAUGGGCAGGUUGAAGGUUGGGUAACACUAACUGGAGGACCGAACCGACUAAUGUUGAAAA